rnacentral:rRNA from 1 species
CAGCAGCCGCCGCGGGAAUACGGAGGGUGCAAGCGUUAAUCGGAAUUACUGGGCGUAAAGCGCACGCAGGCGGUUUGUUAAGUCAGAUGUGAAAUCCCCGAGCUUAACUUGGGAACUGCAUUUGAAACUGGCAGGCUAGAGUCUCGUAGAGGGGGGUAGAAUUCCAGGUGUAGCGGUGAAAUGCGUAGAGAUCUGGAGGUAUACCGGUGGCGAAGGCGGCCCCCUGGACGAAGACUGACGCUCAGGUACGAAAGCGUGGGGAGCAAACAGGAUUAGAUACCCGCGUAGUCCCUGUCUCUUAUAC